UUGGUCCUAGAUAUACUAUUGCUUUUGGCCAAAGAUAUACAUGCUAGCCUCCGCGCACCAGUGAAAACGCUCACUUUUAGCCCCCCUACACUUGAAGCUGGUAUCAGGCACGAUAAAACUCAGCCCAAAACACCUAGCUACGCCACACCCCCACUGGGCUUCAGCAGUAAAAAACACUAAGCACUAAGCCUUAAAGCUUGACUUGGUUAUAGCCAUUUAAUUCCGAGCCGGUAAACCCCGUGCCAGCCACCGCGGUUACACGAGGGGCUAAAAACAAUACACCCCGGCGCAAAGGGUGGCUAGAGAGACAUUUAUUAAAGGACUCAGAAACUGGGAUAAAAGCUGUAAAAUGCUAUAUAUAUUCAGGAACCCCCCCCCCCUGCCCCACCUAUAAACUGCCUUGACCCCACGAAAGCUAAGACCCAAACUAGGAUUAGAUACCCUACUAUGCUUAGCCAUAAACCAGCGAAAAAUCCCGCUCGCCAGAAAACUACAAGCAACCAGCUUAAAACUCAAAAGACUUGACAGUAUUUCACACCGACCUAGAGGAGCCUGUCCUACAAUCGAUAACCCACGCUAAACCUCACCCACCUUUGCAAAACAGUCUAUAUACCUCCGUCGCCAGCCCGCCUGAAAACAGACACAAAGCGGGUAUAACAACUCAUCGCUAAUACGACAGGUCAAGGUGUAACUAAUAGGUUGGGCAGAGAUGGGCUACAUUUUCUAAAAUUGAAUAUACCUACCCCACUAUGAAACUUGUGAUAAAAGGUGGAUUUAGCAGUAAGCAAGGACAAGACAAGCCCAACUGAAACACGCCCUGAAAUGUGUACACACCGCCCGUCACCCUCCUCAACAAAGACUACAAACCUAACUAAACUAAGACUAAUAAAAUAGAAGAGGUAAGU
rnacentral:ncRNA from 1 species